GUCCCCUCCUCUGCCCCGUGGAUCCCGAGGCGCCUCGUGCCGAAAGCGCGCAGGGCCCGCCACCCAGAAGCCCACUGGCCUCGCUGCGGUGGGGUCUCCGGCGGCCCGAGUUACAACGUUCUUUUCCCCUCCUCCCCGCUCCCGCCCGCUGCCGCCGCUCACGCGCCACUGCCGCUACCUCGGUCGUAAAGUCCGCGCGGGGCCGCGUUCUGUCGAUCCCGCAGAGAGGGAGGCGGUUUGCACCUGGUGGGUCUCCGCGCCGGGUCCUGACCAAGGUGCCUAUUCGAGUUAUUUGCAAGCCGUCAGAAUUCUGCUUACAGUAUAUGUGUGUUCUGCAUCCCUGCAGCUGCAGAAGAAAUUUUAGUAACCCCCUCCGUACCUGCCUUCAUUUAAAGAAGAAAGAAAAAAAAAUCUGAAACAAAGUGAAAAUAACCUUGCACUAGGAUGCUGUGGGCGAGAGGAAAAGAAGAGUUAUUUUACAACGAACUUUAAUUUUUUUUUAAAUAAUGGAAUCCUUAAUUGUUUUGAACGUAAUGGUGCAAUACAUUAAAGUGGUGGACAAUGACUAUUAGAGGUAGCUUGUGUUUGAGGAUUUGGGAGCCCGCUGAAAGCAGAGAAUAGAAAUUCAUGAUCUGGAACCACGUAGGCAAGCCAUGAAAAGAUCCGCCACACCAAGAGGAGACUUUUGUAGACAAGAAAAGGAAGAUGCAAUAAACACAGAGCUCUUCACCAGGUGCGUCCUUGCCAGGAAAGAAGAGGACACUUUCUUCUUCCUCUUGGGCUCUUCAUCCUUAGAGUGUGAGAGCUCGCUUCUGGUAUGCCAUCUCCAUUUCAUUUUUUAUACAUUAAAAAGAAAAAUAAGGAGAUCCCUGUGACUCAGCAGGUUAAGAAUCAGGCAAAUGAAGCACUACAGCAGCUCAAGUUGCUACUAUGGUAUAGUUUCAAUUCCUGGCCAGGGAAAUUUCAUAAUCCAAGGGUGUGGCAAAAGAAGAGUAAGAAAGAGAAGGAGAGGGAGAGGGAGAAGGAGGAGAAUGAAAAAAAAGAGGUAGGCCAGUAGGCUGAAGAAUAAGAGAAAGUUAAUGCUAUGGUUUGAGUCUGAAUGCAAUCUUUUUAACUGAUUGACAAAAGCCCAUUCACAUUAUAGAUGGUAAUCUGCUUUCCUAAAAAUAAUCUCAUUUUAAAAAACACUUUCACAGAAAAAUGUCAAAUACUGCUGGACUAAGUAUCUGAGUACUUUGUCUUAGAUGAAUUGACAUCUAAAUUAACCAUCACUCUGUGUCUAGCAAAAGUUUAUUAUUAAACAGUGGGUGAAGUUCAUAUUGUGUUGUAACUUUUGAAUUUGUAAAACAAUAUCAAGUAUCAAUUUUAACCUGCAUAUUUAAGAGACACUUACUCUAUGAAUAAAAUUAGUUUAAAAUAAUGACUGCCAAUUAGGUGACUUUCAAGCAGUAUUUUCACACUUCUUAAAUAGAUAUUGUUUAAUUAAUUUCUGAAAAUCAUCACCAGCUGAACUAUAAUUUAUGGUUAUAGGUCACAAAAGAUGGCAAAUUAGCACAACUAAAUAGGUAAAAAUCAAUAUAGGAAGCCUAGAAAAUGACCAGUGGCAAUAAGUACCACAUUACUCAGAUUAAGGCUUUUAUAUAUCAUUUUCCACAAAAAGAAAACAGAUUCCCUUGGAGUGGCAAUUCACUGGUGAGGACAUCUUGUAAUACAAAAUUAAGGAAAAAAAAUGUAAAAAUCAGAUUGUUUCUAAAGAUGUCAUAACCCAGUAAGAAGAGGCUUCCAUUUGCUAAAGAUAAAAUUUGUAUUUAAAAAAUAGUGAAUACAUGUUAUUAUACUUGUAAAACCCAUAUAGAAUGCAAAACAGCAAGUGUAAUUCCUAUUAAAAAAUGUAUACUUUGGGUAAUGAUGACAUGUCAAUGUAGGCUCAUCACUUGUAAUAAAUGUACCAUCUGCUGUGGGAUGUUGAUAGUGGGGGAGGCUGUGCAUGUGGGAAUCUCUGUACCUUUUUCUUAAUUUUACUAAGAGGGAAUUCCUGUUGUGGCAUAGCAGUAACAAACCCAACUGGAAUCCAUGAGGAUGUGGGUUUGAUCCCUGACCCCGCUCAGUGGGUUGAGGCUCUGGUGUUGCUACAUGCUGUGGUGUAGGUCAAACAAGCUUGGAAUUGCUGUGGUUGUGGUAUAGGCCAGCAGCUGGAGCUCUGUUUCGACCCCUAGCUUGGGAACUUCCGCAUGAAGCAGGUGCAGCCCUAAAAGCAAAAAAGCAAAAAUAAAAAUUUUUCUGUGAACACAAAACAACUCUAUAAAAUACAGUUUAUUUAAGAGGAAAAAAAAAAGAGUAUUAACUGAAAAAUUACCUAGAUGGUUCAACAGAAGUGCUGCUGAACUGGAGAGUAGGUCAGUUGAAAUUAUUCAGUGUGAGGAGCAGAAAGAAGAUUCAAGGAGGAGUUCCUGUCAUGGUGAAGCAGAAACAAAUCCGACUAGGAACCAUGAGGUUGUGAGUUUGAUCCUUGGCCUUGCCCAGUGGGCUAAGGAUCCAAAAUUGCCAUGAGCUGUGGUAUAGUUCACAAUGAGGCCCGGAUUCUGCAUUGCUGUGGCAGUGGUGUAGGCUGGCGGGUAUAACUCUGAUUUGCCCCCUAGCCUGGUAACUUCCAUACACUGUGGGUGUGGCCCUAAAAAAAAAAAAAAAAGCAAAAAUAUAUAAAUAAAUAAAUAUAUAAAUAAAAAAUUAAAAAUCAUUGCAAUUCUCACUUAAAAUAAAAAAUUUUUAAAUGAAAAAAUAUAGAUAUAAAAAAAGACAAUUCAAGGAGCAGAAAGAUAUUCAAGAAGCCUGUGAAACAGCAAACACACACAUUGCACGUAAUGAGAGUCUAGAGUCUAGGAAGAGAGGAGGAAAAAAAGGGAAGAAAUUAUAUUUGAAGAAGUAGGCUGGAAAAAACCUAACAUGUGAUUAAAGGUGGAAAUUUACAAAUUAAAGAAACUCAAAAAGCAUCAGAAUAAAAUAGUUCUUCACCAAAUAUAUUAUAAUGAAAUUAUAUAAGCCAAAGCAAAUAUUGAAGACAGAAAAACAGAAGCAACUCUUGAGUUACAAGACUCUCCAGUAAGAUUAACAGCCCAUUUCUAAUCAGAAAAACUUUAGGCUACAUGGUAGUGAGAUGGUAUUUUUAGAGUGUUGGAAAAAAAUUAAAAUGUCAAUGGUGGAUUUUAUAACCAGUAACCAUUGCUGAAAAUGAAGGAGGAACUCAAUCCUAGCAGGCCUAUCCUACAAGAAAUGCUAAGAGAAGCCAAUCAGUCUCUAAUAAAAGGAUACUAUCAAGUAAUCUGAAGCCAUUCAAAGAAAUAGAGAAUACUGGUAAAGGUAGCUAUAUCAAUAUAUCAUUAUCAGUAGUACUGAAUAUAUUAUUUGUGACUCUUCCAUUUUUUUUCCUAGGACUUAAAAACAAGUGCAUGAAACAGUAAUCAUAAAUCUAUGUUAAAAUCAAUGUAUAAAGAUAUAAUUUGUGAUAAUAAUAGCAUAAUGGCAUAGCAGAAGUAGAGGUGUUUAUAAAAAGUUUUGUAUAAACUGAUAAACCAUUUAAGAGUAUUGUAAAUUUAAAAUGUUAAUUCUAAUCCCCAAAAUAACCAUCACAAAAUUUAUAUAUAAAUUAGAACAUCACAAAAACUUAAUUUAAAAAAGUAAACUAAACUAAAAGAAGGCAGUAAUCGAAAAACUGAGUAACAAAAAAGGCAUAAUAAGGCAUAUAGAAAACAGAUAGAAUGGCAGAAGUAAGCCCUUUUUAAUUGGUAAUUAAAUUUAGAUAAAUUAAAUGUAGAUAAAUUAAACUUUCUAGUUAAAAAGCAGUGAUGAACGGAGUUCGGGUUGUGGUGGAGUGGUUAACAAAUCCGACUAGAAACUGUGAGGUUCGAUCCCUGGCCUUGCUCAGUGGGUUAAGGAUCUAGCAUUGCUGUGGCUGUGGUGUAGGCUGGCAGCUACAGCUCUGAUUUGACCCCUCUCCUGGGAACCUCCAUAUGCUGCGGAAGGGCCCU
rnacentral:lncRNA from 1 species